rnacentral:lncRNA from 1 species
AAAGUUCUGAUUAUAACUAAAAGCAAGUGUGAAAAUUAAUCAAAUGGAUAAGGUAAAUAAAAAUCAAACAUAUUCAAACUUUAUAAUAUAUUCACAUUUCCAACAACCCAUAUAAUAAGUUUGUAUUAAUUGAAAUUCCAUUGCGAUGUAAAAUAAUUAACAGCAAAAAUUAAAGUUCAGUGAUAUACAAAUGAAAAAUGAAAAUAAAUAUCCAAUAUAUUGAUGCGUGUUAAUCUUUUUAUCCAGAUUGAACGCUUAUAUAUAAAUACAAAAUUAAGUAAAAUAGUCAUAAAAAAUAAACAAAAAUAGGAAAAGAAAAAAACUUUCAACAAGUUAUUCUCUGUGAAUUUUAAGUUGUCCGUUUACCAAUUUUUGGUCAGUAUGCAACAGUGAGUAAAGGAACAUAGUCAGUAUUAACAUAUGUGAAAAUACAAAUGAAUUAUUGAUUGAUGUUAACUUUGCGCCGCCUUAUUGCAAAAAGGCUAUAUCGCGGCGAGAGCUAAUUCAAAUGAUUUACAAUUUAAAUUAUUUAUAAAUUCAAAAAAAAAAUUAUACUAAAAAUUCAUGUCUUUAGUAAAAUUUCGUAUGUACAAAUAGAAAUUCAACACUAAAAUAAGGUGAUUAAAUUAAAAUCAUUUUAAAUCCAUACAACAUUUUUAUAUUUUACAAUAUAUUCAAGCUUCUUUUUAGUAUGAAACAUUAUUUUUAAUUGGGAAGCUAUCCAAUAAAUCAUACAUAUAAAUGACAUUACAAUGCUUCCUACGAAUAUCAGCAAAAUAUUCUGUAUUAACAAAUUUGAACAUCCAAAGUGAACUGUUUACAAAACAUAUUGUUUUGAGUUAAAAAGGAGAUACAUACACAUUUUGUCAAAACCAUGUUAGUAAAAAUUAAAAUAACAAAAAUACAGAAAUCUGAGGAAAAUUCAAAACGGAUAGUCCCUAAUAAAAUGGCAAAAUCAAAAGCUUGAAAACAUGUAACGAAUGGAUAACAACUGCAAAAUUUAUUUAGCUUUUGCAAAUUUUAGGUAUAAUAUAUUUAUUUUAAAACUCAUCUAGACGAUGCCUUUAUAUUUGUAUUUGACACAUAAACCUAUUUUCCUUACAAAUCAUCUAACAAAAACCGAACCCUCAUUAUGUGAUACAAUGUCAAACACUUACUGAUAAUAAUUUUAAUGCAUCAUUAUCUUAAAAAAAAACAUUUAGGAUAUUAUUUGUAUUAUAGUUAUGAGUUAAAGUCAUAUGAAACCUCAAAUAAAAAAAAAUGCAUUUGUUUUUUUAUAACUAAAUGGAUAGUUUUCAUUAUAAA